rnacentral:rRNA from 1 species
UUAAGCGUGUUGUGAAAUGUAGACGCUCAACGUCUGCACUGCAGCGCGAACUGGUUUCCUUGAGUACGCACAAAGUGGGCGGAAUUCGUGGUGUAGCGGUGAAAUGCUUAGAUAUCACGAAGAACUCCGAUUGCGAAGGCAGCUCACUGGAGCGCAACUGACGCUGAAGCUCGAAAGUGCGGGUAUCGAACAGGAUUAGAUACCCUGGUAGUCCGCACGGUAAACGAUGGAUGCCCGCUGUUGGUCUGAAUAGGUCAGCGGCCAAGCGAAAGCAUUAAGCAUCCCACCUGGGGAGUACGCCGGCAACGGUGAAACUCAAAGGAAUUGACGGGGGCCCGCACAAGCGGAGGAACAUGUGGUUUAAUUCGAUGAUACGCGAGGAACCUUACCCGGGCUUGAAUUGCAGAGGAAGGAUUUGGAGACAAUGACGCCCUUCGGGGUCUCUGUGAAGGUGCUGCAUGGUUGUCGUCAGCUCGUGCCGUGAGGUGUCGGCUUAAGUGCCAUAACGAGCGCAACCCCUCUCCUUAGUUGCCAUCAGGUGAAGCUGGGCACUCUGGGGACACUGCCACCGUAAGGUGUGAGGAAGGUGGGGAUGACGUCAAAUCAGCACGGCCCUUACGUCCGGGGCUACACACGUGUUACAAUGGCAGGUACAGAGAGAUGGUCCUUUGCAAAACGGAUCAAAUCCUUAAAGCCUGUCUCAGUUCGGACUGGGGUCUGCAACCCGACCCCACGAAGCUGGAUUCGCUAGUAAUCGCGCAUCAGCCAUGGCGCGGUGAAUACGUUCCCGGGCCUUGUACACACCGCCCGUCAAGCCAUGAAAGCCGGGGGCGCCUGAAGUCCGUAACCGCAAGGAUCGGCCUAGGGUGAAACCGGUGAUUGGGGCUAAGUCGUAACAAGGUAGCCGUACCGGAAGGUGCGGCUG